rnacentral:lncRNA from 1 species
CAUUGUUUAGAAAUUUAUUAGCAAUUUUAAAAUAACAUCAUUCAUUAGAUAAAAAUGCAAUCUUACAGGAAUAUACAUUUGUCCCACACAGAGAUGACCCUAUAGCUCGCUGGCGGGCCAUUCACUCUAACUUUCCUCUGUUGAUUUUAAAACGUGCGAGAGGGCAAGACGGACUCUGGCACUGAUGACAGGCUUACAUGACGGUUACAAACUGUACAGCAUUAUUUACAAAAGCAUUUCUGUGAGUUCAUGAAAACUAGAUAUAAAAUUGUGGAAGGAGGUAAAGAAUUGAGAUGGGGAAGGGCUUGGGUGGAGGUGCAAGAGAGGGUGGGCGGGGAGUGUAGGGAAGAGUGGGAGAGGAGGUUUAUGUCUGGACUGAUUUAUACUUGAGAGAGGUCAUUUUACAGCUCUGGGCAAUUCAAAUGAAGGCAAAACACUUAUAUUUAUCAACAUUUAUAGCUGAUGAUCAGAGCAGGAAAUGGUGCUCCAGGGCCUGAACUUAAGAGGUGCUGAGGAACCCCAUCUUCCCUGAAGUCACCGGGAAACACAGUUAUGCAGUACCUUGCCGGGCCAGGCCCAAACCAUGCAGCUGCAGGCCAGAUAGAGGUGCCCCCCAGAUCUUACGUAGUUUUGAUCCUGCAGUGCUCAGUCACUGGCGCUGAUGUGAGUUCAGACUGAGUGUGAGAUCAGCUCCCAAAACCUUUCACCCCUGAAACUGGACUAGAUGCCAACCACUUCUUGCCAGAAUUCACCCAAAGCGACUUAUCCCCUGCUCUACCAAGCGGCAAUUGUUUGGAGGGAGAUUUCAUCAUUCAGAAUUGAUUUUUAAGGCAGUUUUAAAAGAAUCUCCCCCUUUUAUUUUUGUGUGUGAUGCAGCAAUGUUUGUCAAAGAGAUAUUUACAAUCUCGAUCCUCCUCUGAAACCUUCCCACAUUCAAACUGUCAAGGCUGAAUAAGCCUGAAACAAUCACUUCUAUGAGCAAUCAUAAAGUUGAUGAUGUUUAGAUAGUAUUGGCUGCCAGUCUAGCUAGGUGCUUGAGAUGGGAGCAGGCUGGCUUCAGAUGCUUAAAAUACUGACAGCAUUACAGCCUGUUGGGAAGGAACUUGCAUUUUGCCUUGCUGGGCAAAAUGCAACAAGAAAACGCAGGUAUCUAAUCGUCCAAAUAACGAGUCUGCUGAAUGGUGUCUGAGUUUGCGUAUCUGUCUUGAAUAGGAAAAUGCUUUGGAAAGGGGCUGUUUGAACACUGACAGAAAAAAACCUGUUGUUGGGUGGAGUGUUGCCUGCUCUCGCCUGGGCUUGCUCCUGCUCCACUGGGUCUGGGAUGCAGCCGCUAACCCUGGCCUGACGUAAAGGCCGGGCAGAGCGCCGUGAACUUCAGGCUGUAGGAGUGGAGGCUGUCUGCAUGAGGUGGGGUAGGAAAACAACUGCAUGGGAGUGUGGAGACCAGCUCCCAGUUGUGCCUAACUAAGCCCUUGGUAAUGGUAAUGAAGAUUCCCUUGUUACAUCAGUCAUUGGUACUGCUCCUCUCCAUUAGCCCUUUAGAAAGGGCCUUGAUUAAGUUGCCUAAUUGUCUCCUGCCACCUGAGAUCUCUGCCAUCCAGGUGGGACCAGUAGCUGUAGUACUAGCCGUGGGGAAGAGACAUGCCUUUCUGGACCAGCUGCUGCAAGCCAGAGAGAGUGCUGUAGGGGAUCUCAAGUGGUAGCAUAUGCCCACAUUUAGGCAACUGAGCUGAGCCCUGUGCCCCUAAAGAAGGCCUGUUUUUUAUGCUCAAGUGUUAACACUUAAGUAAAGCCCCUCGUAAGGGCCAGGGGAAGAAUGGAGGAUUUAACUAGAACACUAAAGUUUAUAUCAGAAGAAGUUGGGUUUUUUUUCCAUUCCAGUGUGAUGCUACUGACUUCUCCGAAAGCAGUUGGAGCCCAGUCUGUCUGCAGUGCAGUACAGGACAUCUCUCUCUUGGCUGUGCUUCUGCCCUCGCCUGCCCCAUCUCAGGGUGCUUAGCAGCAAGGCCAUAGCGGAUUCAGCUGUACAGAAACAAAACAGCAACAGAGAGCAAAGCUCCACAGACUGAGAUCCCAUUGGAAAUCUUCUGGAUCUCUGGGCUUGCUAACCCAGGAUAAAACUUUGAAAACUUUGCAACAUUUAAAAAGAAGAAAAAAAGAAACCCUAUGCAUAUAUUGGAAUUUAUAUUUCUUAGACUUCUUUGGAGAAGAAAAUAAACAGAGAAAAGAUAUAAUAAAACUUUUCUGGGCCCAGUUCUGUUUUCCACUUUUGUUGCAUCCUCGUGCCCUCCAGCCUCGUGUUAGCAAGAUGGGAACUGGGGCUUCUGACAGCCUGGAAUAUUUUCUUUAUAUGCACUGCAGUUUUCAUUAUGGAAACAGAUAAAACCUCACCACUACCAGCAGACCCCAACUGGAUUCUACUUAUUUUAUCAACUUUAUUGUGCUCCAAAUUCGUCAUUCAGUGUUCCGGUCCCCCACCCCACCCUGCCAUGGGGACAGUCACAACAGGACCGUGCAUAUAUCUUAGGAUACUCAGUUCUGUCUCAGUAGGGCUGCUUCACUUCAGCUCACCGGACCAACAGGUUGGGGUUCUCAUCCAUGCAUAUGAAGCAAGGCCUCCAACUUCAUCUCUGACACAGGUGACAACCCCACGGGCUUGCGGUGCCGUCACCUUUUACGAUUGUGUCUGUGUGCAAACGCGCAUACAUUUCAUACAGCAAUCUGAAACUAUCAGGCAGAAAAGACACAGGAGCCUGGCUGAGACCCAUACAACUGUUAUAUUGGCGUCAGUCUAAAGAAAGCAAUGAUACAUUGCUUUGGAAAUUAUCAAGAAAUGUAAAAAAUGCAUUUGCCCUUUUUUUGUUGUUGUUGUCGUUGUCAUAGUCAUCAGGGGCAGGGUUCUGAGUCAGAAAACAAAGCAGAAAUAGAUGUGAUUCUGUACAUGGCGCCUCUCUGGCUGUCCCUCCGUGCUGGGGUGUGGUGAGCAGGGUAAUAAAACAGGCGGGAC